UACGUAGGGUGCGAGCGUUAUCCGGAAUCAUUGGGCGUAAAGAGCUCGUAGGCGGUUCAGCAAGUCGGCUGUGACAGUCCGAGGCCCAACCUCGGAAUUGCAGUCGAUACUUCUGUGACUCGAGUCCGGUAGAGGAGAACGGAAUUCCCGGUGUAGCGGUGAAAUGCGCAGAUAUCGGGAGGAACACCAGUAGCGAAGGCGGUUCUCUGGGCCGGCACUGACGCUGAGGAGCGAAAGCGUGGGGAGCGAACAGG
rnacentral:rRNA from 1 species